GCCCCAGUAGGCUAACGGAUAGACCGCCGGCCUCCGAAGCCGGAGACGCAGGUUCAAUUCCUGCCUGGGGCA
rfam:Candidatus Peregrinibacteria bacterium CG1_02_54_53 cg1_0.2_scaffold_8883_c, whole genome shotgun sequence.